rnacentral:rRNA from 1 species
AUUGAACGCUGGCGGCAGGCCUAACACAUGCAAGUCGAGCGGAUGAAGGGAGCUUGCUCCUGGAUUCAGCGGCGGACGGGUGAGUAAUGCCUAGGAAUCUGCCUGGUAGUGGGGGAUAACGUCCGGAAACGGGCGCUAAUACCGCAUACGUCCUGAGGGAGAAAGUGGGGAUCUUCGGGACUCACGCUAUCAGGUUAGCCUAGGUCGGAUUAGCUAGUUGGUGGGGUAAAGGCCUACCAAGGCGACGAUCCGUAACUGGUCUGAGAGGAUGAUCAGUCACACUGGAACUGAGACACGGUCCAGACUCCUACGGGAGGCAGCAGUGGGGAAUAUUGGACAAUGGGCGAAAGCCUGAUCCAGCCAUGCCGCGUGUGUGAAGAAGGUCUUCGGAUUGUAAAGCACUUUAAGUUGGGAGGAAGGGCAGUAAGUUAAUACCUUGCUGUUUUGACGUUACCAACAGAAUAAGCACCGGCUAACUUCGUG